UGCUCAUAGAGGUCACCUAAUGGAAUGAAA
rnacentral:piRNA from 1 species